CAGAGUUCUUUGCAACUCCCAACCCUGUGAACCAUACCAAUUUUUUGUUGUUGCUUCUGGCAGCGCCUUCUUGGGGCGUCUGCCAGCGGCGACCUGCUCCAACCUUCUUUUGUCUCUUUUCCUGUCUGAGCACUAAAAAAACAAAUAAAUCA
rnacentral:misc_RNA from 1 species